rnacentral:rRNA from 1 species
GUGAGGAAUAUUGGGCAAUGGGCGAAAGCCUGACCCAGCCACGCCGCGUGAGUGAUGAAGGCCUUCGGGUUGUAAAGCUCUGUGGGGAGGGAAGAAAAAGCGCAGGAGUAACUGCCUGUGUGUUGACGGUACCUCCUUAGCAAGCACCGGCUAACUCUGUGCCAGCAGCCGCGGUAAUACAGAGGGUGCAAACGUUGCUCGGAAUUACUGGGCGUAAGGCGCGUGUAGGCUGACAUGCAAGUCGGGUGUGAAAUCCCAGGGCUCAACCUUGGAACUGCACUCGAAACUGCACGUCUUGAGUACUGGAGAGGGAAGCGGAAUACCGGGUGUAGAGGUGAAAUUCGUAGAUAUCCGGAGGAACACCAGUGGCGAAGGCGGCUUCCUGGACAGUAACUGACGCUGAGACGCGAAAGCGUGGGGAGCAAACAGGAUUAGAAACCCUUGUAGUCC